AGUGAACGCUGGCGGUAGGCCUAACACAUGCAAGUCGAACGGCAGCACAGGAGAGCUUGCUCUCUGGGUGGCGAGUGGCGGACGGGUGAGGGAUACAUCGGAAUCUGCCCAGUCGUGGGGGAUAACGUAGGGAAACUUACGCUAAUACCGCAUACGACCUUCGGGUGAAAGAGGGGGAUCGCAAGACCUCUCGCGAUUGGAUGAGCCGAUGUCGGAUUAGCUAGUUGGCGGGGUAAUGGCCCACCAAGGCGACGAUCCGUAGCUGGUCUGAGAGGAUGAUCAGCCACACUGGAACUGAGACACGGUCCAGACUCCUACGGGAGGCAGCAGUGGGGAAUAUUGGACAAUGGGCGCAAGCCUGAUCCAGCCAUACCGCGUGGGUGAAGAAGGCCUUCGGGUUGUAAAGCCCUUUUGUUGGGAAAGAAAUCUUUCAGGCUAAUACCCUGGGAGGAUGACGGUACCCAAAGAAUAAGCACCGGCUAACUUCGUG
rnacentral:rRNA from 1 species